rnacentral:rRNA from 1 species
AUUAACAAAAUAAAUUGGAUAACCUUUCACGAAAGAUAGUGAGCUAAUCAUGUAUACAUUUUGUAUAGUUAUACGUAGCAUAGUAUAUAUAAAUACUUGAUUAGGGGUGAUAGGCUUUUCAAACUAUCAGAUAACUUGUUUCAUACGAACAGUAUUUAGUACACAUACAUACUUAAAAAGUUAAGCUUUUAAGUUGAGAUUAAAUAUAUAUUGAUUUUUGAGCAUAGUAUAAUAGCUUGUUGUUAAUAGAUUUAAUAUUAAUUUUUUGUUUUUAUCUCAAGUAAUAUGACAAUAAUAUUUUUUCUAAUUAGAUAAUGUUAAUAUUAGUAGUGAUAAUAAAUAUAUUAAAGGAACUCGGCAAAAUAACCGCUCAACUGUUUAUCAAAAACAUAGCUAUAUGUAUUAAUAUAUAGUAAUUUCUGCUCCAUGAAUAUUAAAUAGCCGCAGUACUCUGACUGUGCAAAGGUAGCAUAAUCAGUUGGCUUAUAAUUGAAGUCUGGUAUGAAUGAAAAUAUGGGUGGUUGCUGUCUUUAGUGUAUUUUCUUAAACUUAUUAAACAAGUGAAAAUACUUGUGUUUAUAAAAAAGACGAGAAGACCCUAGAAACUUUAGUUAGUUUUUGUUGGGGCGACAUAAUUACAUAUAACUAAUCUUAUGAAACAUGACAUAUAUAGUAAGAACAAGUUACUCUAGGGAUAACAGCAUAAUUUAAAUAGUUUGUGACCUCGAUGUUGGACUAGGUAUUUUAUCCUUUAGAUAAGAAUAAAAAAUGCUCUGUUCGAGCAGUUAUACCUACAU